CCAGUAAUCCACUCCGGCCAUUUACAUCUCCUUACAAAUCAAAGACACUCUACUCCACUUGUUCCAGUGUACUCAGUUGUUAGCUGGGGGAUAACUUGCAAUGAACUGGCAUGCCGUCCAGAGGAAGAUGGUUCCCCAUCCUAAUAGCUGGGGGAUAACUUGCAAUGAACUGGCAUGCCGUCCAGAGGAAGAUGGUUCCCCAUCCUAAUAGCUGGGGGAUAACUUGCAAUGAACUGGCAUGCCGUCCAGAGGAAGAUGGUUCCCCAUCCUAAUGAACGUGUGCCAAUUUAAACUGGAGUUCGAAAGCCUUAUAAAGGCACGAAACCCUUGGACCAUCAUUAGAGCUAGUUCCAAAGCGCCACCUUCUAGUGGCUAUUAAUCCAGCUGGUGGUCGAAAGAAGGCAUACGAAAUAUUCAAAAAACAAGUAGUCCCCCUUUUGGAAGAAAGUGAAAUUACUUGGGAAGUUAUAUUGUCGGAAAAGAGUAAAUUUAUGCUCGGAUAUAUCCAGUCUGCUGAUCUCUCAAAGUUCAACGGCAUUAUAUCCGUAUCCGGAGAUGGUCUCCUCUAC